GACGAACGCUGGCGGCGUGCUUAACACAUGCAAGUCGAGCGGUAAGGCCCUUUCGGGGGUACACGAGCGGCGAACGGGUGAGUAACACGUGGGUGACCUGCCCUCAGCUCUGGGAUAAGCCUGGGAAACCGGGUCUAAUACCGGAUACGACUCCAUGACGCAUGUUGUGGGGUGGAAAGCCUUGUGCGGCUGAGGAUGGGCCCGCGGCCUAUCAGCUUGUUGGUGGGGUGAUGGCCUACCAAGGCGACGACGGGUAGCCGGCCUGAGAGGGCGACCGGCCACACUGGGACUGAGACACGGCCCAGACUCCUACGGGAGGCAGCAGUGGGGAAUCUUGCGCAAUGGGCGAAAGCCUGACGCAGCGACGCCGCGUGAGGGAUGACGG
rnacentral:rRNA from 1 species